UUAUGCGUUGUUGGGUAGGGGAGCGUUCUGUAAGCCUGCGAAGGUGGCCUGUGAGGGUUGCUGGAGGUAUCAGAAGUGCGAAUGCUGACAUAAGUAACGAUAAAGCGGGUGAAAAGCCCGCUCGCCGGAAGACCAAGGGUUCCUGUCCAACGUUAAUCGGGGCAGGGUGAGUCGACCCCUAAGGCGAGGCCGAAAGGCGUAGUCGAUGGGAAACGGGUUAAUAUUCCCGUACUUGGUGUUACUGCGAAGGGGGGACGGAGAAGGCUAUGUUGGCCGGGCGACGGUUGUCCCGGUUUAAGCGUGUAGGUGUGUGUUCCAGGUAAAUCCGGUUCACUUUAACACUGAGGCGUGAUGACGAGGCACUACGGUGCUGAAGCAACAAAUGCCCUGCUUCCAGGAAAAGCCUCUAAGCAUCAGGUAACACGAAAUCGUACCCCAAACCGACACAGGUGGUCAGGUAGAGAAUACCAAGGCGCUUGAGAGAACUCGGGUGAAGGAACUAGGCAAAAUGGUGCCGUAACUUCGGGAGAAGGCACGCUGACACGUAGGUGAAGUGAUUUACUCAUGGAGCUGAAGUCAGUCGAAGAUACCAGCUGGCUGCAACUGUUUAUUAAAAACACAGCACUGUGCAAACACGAAAGUGGACGUAUACGGUGUGACGCCUGCCCGGUGCCGGAAGGUUAAUUGAUGGGGUCAGCGCAAGCGAAGCUCCUGAUCGAAGCCCCGGUAAACGGCGGCCGUAACUAUAACGGUCCUAAGGUAGCGAAAUUCCUUGUCGGGUAAGUUCCGACCUGCACGAAUGGCGUAAUGAUGGCCAGGCUGUCUCCACCCGAGACUCAGUGAAAUUGAACUCGCUGUGAAGAUGCAGUGUACCCGCGGCAAGACGGAAAGACCCCGUGAACCUUUACUAUAGCUUGACACUGAACAUUGAGCCUUGAUGUGUAG
rnacentral:rRNA from 1 species